GGGGAUUUUCCACUGCCUUGGGAGUGGGGUGAGCACACAAGUGAGCCUGUGUGGCAACGGGAGCGCUCCUGCUUCCCAGCGUGCCGAGGGGAACGGGGCAGACCCACAGCCCCAACACACUGCUGCCUUUGGGGCUGCUCACUGCUGCUGCCCCACAACAUGAGCUUCUCCCCAGGGCUCCUCCUGGCUCUGUGUGCACGGUUCAUCGCAUUGCUCAUAAGAAUUGUCUGAUCGCGAGUUAUUCCCCCAGCCCUGCCAGGAGCCCAAUUUAAAUAACAAUGAGGCUCGGUUACAGGCGGCAGGUCUGAUCCCAGCGCACGCUGACUUCAUUAAGCUUGCCUCGCGAGGGCUUUCCCUGCAGCCGAGCCAUUAACUGCGAGCAUCGCUCACAGCCGCUGUGCCGGUGGCAUCCCUCUCCCUGCCCUGAGCCAGCAGAGCCUGCAGUGUCACACUGGGCAGGAGAGCUUUGCUCUCCGUUGGGUGACCUGAUGGCAACCCCCAGGCCAUGAAUGUAAAGUCAAACAAAAGCUGUGGAGGAAAAGCAACGAAAAAUUCAUGAAAACAGAACAACCGACCUGUUGGUGAAUUUCCAGAGAUAUUUGAAAUGUUUCACCAAAAAAGAAAAAAGAAAAAAAAACACCCAGAAAGAACUGCUUUCCUAAUUUAGAAAUCAAAAGAAUUUUUGAAUGGAAAACAUUUGCACGGGGCUUUCACUGCUCUCAAACUAAAUGACUCUGACUCGCUUUGGACAGGAGCGCAGUGCUUAUCUGACUGCUUUCGGGUCUCAUUUGCCCCAGGCAGCACUCUGGGCAGACACUGAGCACCCCAAGCUCCUGACUUUGGUUUCUGCCCCACUCUGUUUGUGGCUACCAUCACCCACGCACUCACUGCACCCAGACUGUGUGACAAUGACACCCAGUCCCUCAGCUCCCGGUGACAGCCCAGGGCUGGCCACCUUCUCCCACUGCCCUUCAUCUCCCCAACCCCUCCCAUAGCUCCAUGUGCUCCCACACACCAGACCCCAGGCGCAGCCCAGGAGAUCCCCUCCCUGGCAAGGUAAGGGCCAUCCUGACAUGAUUUCCCCUGAUCCAUUUGAGAUGGGAUCUCCUCCUCUGAAUGCUGGACUGUCAGCGGGUAUCUGAACAUAAUUAAAUCCUGCUGCUUCUUCAGAUGUCCUUGGAAGUCGUAUGCCUGACCUAUUUCUGAUGCGUCUCUGUAGCUGUCCUCCAAACCUCCCCAGCCACGCAGCAAAUGAGCCCUUCCUUUGCUGGGGCACUGUGGAUGUUUGACGUUCUCUCUGGUUUAAUGACCUAACAGUAAAAGCUAUUGACACAGGCUGUAAUUAAUACACCCGGUGGGAAAAGCAAAGGGCAGCUCUGUGUGGUGAGGAGAACUGAUGGCCAGACGGGGCUGCACAGAGCUGGUCCCCGCCUGCCUGCCUCUGCCGGUGUCAACAUGCAUCCCUGCACCCCAUGCAUCCCUUCAUCUCACGUAACCCUGCACUCUGCACAUCCUGUACUCCAGGCAUCCCUGCACCUUGCACAUCUCCACACUUGUCAGCCCCUUCACCAGGUGGGUGGGAGGCACAGAGAGGUUUGGGGCAGGGUCCCAUGACAGUGCCUCACCCUGCUGUGUGCCCAGACAGGAGCAGGGGCCCUGUGCUCGUUACAUAAAUGGGCUUUUGCUGUGCUCAUCAAUGUCAUGAAGCCCCACCCCGAUUACUGAUAUCACCGUUCCCAUGGCAACAGAAGUGCUGCAAAAAAAAGGAAGAAUGGAGAUGAAGAAAGGCACAGGGAGGGGGAAGGGGAGGGAAAGCCUGGGGAGGGGCUGCAGUGCCCACAGGGCCCACACCACCCUGGGAGAGUCCCUAUGGGCUGGGUGGGAUGGUGGGCUGCUCAUUGGUGUGGGGACCACCACAGCAGUGCCCUCAUGGGGACCUUAGCACUAUUCCACUUCCAUUAGUCCCAACAUGGCUUUAUCCGCCUCAGACGCUCAGAAACCCAAUAUCAUCUACUCCAUCCCCUCUGCCUGUCUGUGGCUACAUUCUGAGAUGUUUUAUCGGUGUCAAGGAUGGCUGAAAAAGAUUUUUUUUGUCAAGCCUGAGUCUCCAAAUCCUCACAUGAUCCCAGGACCUGGGAAUAACAUCAGGAGAGAUGCAGAAAGCAGCCAAAGCUGGGUCCUACAGCCCUUAAAUCCUGGGGUAACUGCAGGACAGGUAGACAGACAGACAGAAGCAGCCAGCAGAACCUCACCAGGGUAACAGAGGGUUUUGCAGCUCAGAAUUCCCUACCCAGCCUUCCCACAUCCUCUUUUUGCAGAGCCUCAGUGGGGCUGGGACCCCAGAAUGGGGACUGCUGUCUGUGCCCUGCUCCACUGCCAUCUGCCUGGGGCUGCCCUGUGCCGUCAUUCGUGCCGUGGUUGUACAGAGGAGGAGGAAGCCAUGCCAGCACCAAGGUGCCAAUUACUCUUUCAUUAACAGCCGAUGUAUUUCUCUAUCAGCCCUCUGCUUCUCCGUACAAUGUUGAUCAUUUUGAUGGAGCAUUUGUUUUAAUUUCCCAAAUGAGGAAGCAAUCUUGUAAAUAUUGUGUGGUAAUUAAAAUGGCUAUUUAUUGUGCAGCAUUCUGCCUGCUGCCAGCACAUACUCUGAUUAGCAUUCCCCUUCCACUGAGCCUCUGCUCCCACCCGUCCUCAGCUUUAGGGAGCCCAGCACAUAGAAACCUGCAGGGAAGCACCACUGUGUCCAUCCAUCUGUCCAUCCAUCCG
ensembl:lncRNA